CUUGAGAUUGAACUAACAGAUACUAGAAUCUAGAUCUGAGAAAAUAUGAAAUAUGGAUGAAUAUGGAAAAUUCUUGUAUUGAAGAUGAUAGUUCACGUGAAAUGUACAUCAGGUGGUCUUUAAAUAGAGAAUGAAAGCAAUUGGGUUCUAUACAGUUGUUUACAGCUGGAUAUUAACAGAAAAUCAACUAAUCUAACUAAUUCUUCCACGUCAGCAACAGGUUCUGGUUGUUUCUUCCGUCCUUAUAGCAAGAAGUCGACUCAGGCUUUUCAGUUUGGAUGUUGGGACUAAAGCGAAUUCUGGAAGCAAAGCAACGAGGACUUCAACAAAUACUUUCUUGCAUUACCAUUUUUAAUUCGCUCUUGCAUAAAGCUCUACACUUUGAUUGUAGGGAUUUCGCCAGGAUCCUCAUAGAAUGCAUCAUUCAUAUCACAUUAUGACACUUCUACAGGUCGUAUUGUUGGUUUUUCGAUAAUAGGUUUACAGUUUUGCAUACUGAACCCUUUUUCUCUAUCUGAAUUGUCACCUAUUGGUGGUAGUGCCAUUGGCUUUAUAGUUACACCAGGGUUUUUAUUUACAGUUGUCGGAGCAAGAGAUGC
rnacentral:lncRNA from 1 species